rnacentral:tRNA from 1 species
GAGGGUACAGCUCAGUGGUAGAGCACAUGCCUAGCAUGCACAAGGUCCUGGGUUCAAUCCUCAGUACCUCCA